UUAGGAAUCUUGCACAAUGGGCGAAAGCCUGAUGCAGCGACGCCGCGUGAAGGAUGAAGGCCUUCGGGUUGUAAACUUCUUUUAUCAGGGAAGAAGAAUGUGACGGUACCUGAUGAAUAAGCCCCGGCUAACUACGUGCCAGCAGCCGCGGUAAUACGUAGGGGGCGAGCGUUGUCCGAAUUUAUUGGGCGUAAAGCGCGCGUAGGCGGACUUUUAAGUCGGUGGUGAAAUCCCGGGGCUCAACCCCGGAACUGCCUCCGAAACUGGGAGUCUUGAGGUAUGGAGAGGGAAGUGGAAUUCCUGGUGUAGCGGUGAAAUGCGUAGAUAUCAGGAGGAACACCCGUGGCGAAGGCGGCUUCCUGGCCAUAUCCUGACGCUGAGGUGCGAAAGCUAGGGGAGCGAACGGG
rnacentral:rRNA from 2 species